rnacentral:rRNA from 1 species
AUGAUGCCAGCUUGCUGGUGGAUUAGUGGCGAACGGGUGAGUAACACGUGAGUAACCUGCCCUUGACUCUGGGAUAAGCCUGGGAAACUGGGUCUAAUACCGGAUAUGACCUUCCAUCGCAUGGUGGUUGGUGGAAAGCUUUUGUGGUUUUGGAUGGACUCGCGGCCUAUCAGCUUGUUGGUGGGGUAAUGGCCUACCAAGGCGACGACGGGUAGCCGGCCUGAGAGGGUGACCGGCCACACUGGGACUGAGACACGGCCCAGACUCCUACGGGAGGCAGCAGUGGGGAAUAUUGCACAAUGGGCGAAAGCCUGAUGCAGCGACGCCGCGUGAGGGAUGACGGCCUUCGGGUUGUAAACCUCUUUCAGUAGGGAAGAAGCGUAAGUGACGGUACCUGCAGAAGAAGCGCCGGCUAACUACGUGCCAGCAGCCGCGGUAAUACGUAGGGCGCAAGCGUUAUCCGGAAUUAUUGGGCGUAAAGAGCUCGUAGGCGGUUUGUCGCGUCUGCCGUGAAAGUCCGGGGCUCAACUCCGGAUCUGCGGUGGGUACGGGCAGACUAGAGUGAUGUAGGGGAGACUGGAAUUCCUGGUGUAGCGGUGAAAUGCGCAG